rnacentral:rRNA from 1 species
UAGGGAAGCUUCCGCAAUGGACGCAAGUCUGACGGAGCAACGCCGCGUGAGUGAAGAAGGACUUCGGUUCGUAAAACUCUGUUGUUAGAGAAGAACAGCGCAUAGAGUAACUGAUACGCGUGUGACGGCAUCUAACGAGAAAGCCACGGCUAACUACGUGCCAGCAGCCGCGGUAAUACGUAGGUGGCAAGCGUUGUUCGGAGUUAUUAGGUGUAAAGCGGGCGCAGGCGGUCAAUUAAGUCUGAUGUGAAAGCACCCGGCUCAACCGGGGAGGGUCAUUGGAUACUGGUUGACUGGUGUGCAGAAGGGGAGAGUAGAAUUCCGGGUGUAGCGGUGGAAUGCGUGGAUAUAUGGAGGAACACCAGUGGCGAAGGCUACUCUGUGGUCUGUAACUGACGCUGAGGCUCGAAAGCGUGGGUAGCAAGCAGG